AAAAUGUUUUCUUUAAUAGAAUUUUGUCUUUAUAAAGAGUAGACCUAAGUUGAGGUUGAAACGUUGCUGUGUCCUCCCAUAAAUCUACGUUAUUGACACACUUUGAGUGCCUGGACCAUCCUGUCCUUUCUACUACUGACCAAGGUCCAGCCAGCCUCAGAUCCAGUUAAGCCCCUUGUUUGUGAAGGGAGUCCGGGAGACCUUGUAUGUCUAGAGUACAAUUUUUUUCUUUAGUGAAUAAUCCCAAUGGACUUUAUGCAUAUCAGGCCAUGCUACCCAACAAAUCAUAGCUCAGACAUAAAGGGGGAAAAAUCUACAGAAGGGACUAGGAUAUAUUGUGUAUCCUGCCAAUAUAUAUUGUGUAUCCUUAUGUUGAGUGUCUCAUGGAGUCAAUGAUGGCUAAAAAAAUAUUUAAAGAAAAUGGUACUACC